AGUUUAGGGAGAGACGGAGAGAGAAUGAGAGUGGCGGAGGCCGGAGAGACGGUGCUUGUUGGUCUUCCACCUUUUAAUGCAGAGCAUCCUCAGACUAUAUUUGAUAAUAUUCUUAAUCGUAAGAUACCUUGGCCUGCAGUUCCUGAAGAAAUGAGUCCUGAAGCUCAAGAUCUUAUUGAUCGAUUAUUGACUGAAGAUCCUAACCAAAGACUUGGAGCUAGAGGUGCAUCAGAAGUG